GAUGAACGCUGGCGGCGUGCCUAAUACAUGCAAGUCGAGCGAACAGAUAAGGAGCUUGCUCCUUUGACGUUAGCGGCGGACGGGUGAGUAACACGUGGGUAACCUACCUAUAAGACUGGAAUAACUCCGGGAAACCGGGGCUAAUGCCGGAUAACAUGUUGAACCGCAUGGUUCUACAGUGAAAGGCGGCUUUGCUGUCACUUAUAGAUGGACCCGCGCCGUAUUAGCUAGUUGGUGAGGUAACGGCUCACCAAGGCAACGAUACGUAGCCGACCUGAGAAGGUGAUCGGCCACACUGGAACUGAGACACGGUCCAGACUCCUACGGGAGGCAGCAGUAGGGAAUCUUCCGCAAUGGGCGAAAGCCUGACGGAGCAACGCCGCGUGAGUGAUGAAGGUCUUCGGAUCGUAAAACUCUGUUAUUAGGGAAGAACAAAUGCGUAAGUAACUGUGCGCGUCUUGACGGUACCUAAUCAGAAAGCCACGGCUAACUACGUG
rnacentral:rRNA from 1 species